UUGUGACGUGGGCGGUCCACUGCGCAUGACACAGCGAGAAGUCCAUUGAACCUUAUCAUUUAGAGGAAGGAGAAGUCGUAACAAGGUUUCCGUAGGUGAACCUGCGGAAGGAUCAUUGUCGAGACACUUGGAUGAUCAGCCGACCUUGCAAAACCAUGUGGGCCUCCGGCAGAUGUUGUGCAUGCAUCAUUUGCACGGUUAUGGCCAUCCUCGGGAAUCAAACAAGCAAGCUGGGUGCCAUAGGCACCAAGGUAUAUGUAACAUCGUUGGCAGGUUUGCUGGUGCUUGGCAAGUCUCAGAUGCGAUGGCUACUUGUAUGUAGCAUACGUUUUUGACCUUUACAACUCUCGGCAACGGAUAUCUUGGCUCUCGCAUCGAUGAAGAACGCAGCGAAAUGUGAUAUGUGGUGUGAAUUGCAGAAUCCCGUGAACCAUUGAGUAUUUGAACGCAAGUUGCGCUCGAGGCAGUUUGCCGAGGGCGUGCCUGCCUGGGCGUCUUUCGAUCUUUUGCUCCACCAUGAAGAAGGCAGGCUUGGAAAAUUGCAUGCCCGGCGUCUUCAGUGUGGAUGCGAUUGGUGGCCCCUCGUGCCAUAGGCACGGUGGGUUAAAGAGCGGUAGUCGGUCGGCAAGUUCUUGGCAAUUUGUGGGUGGUGCAUUGGCCAAGCAUGGUCGAUGUUCGCAUGCGAUCGCCAGUGCGGCCGAACGACUUAUGAUCCUUAUAAAUCCAUUUGUUACAUGGCCUGUCUCGAAUUGGCUAUGGGACGUGACCUCAGGCCAGGUGCGGCCACCCGCUGAGUUUAAGCAUAUUAAUAAGCGGAAGGAGAAGGAACUU
rnacentral:rRNA from 1 species